rnacentral:rRNA from 1 species
GACGAACGCUGGCGGCGUGCUUAACACAUGCAAGUCGAACGGAAAGGCCCUGCUUUUGUGGGGUGCUCGAGUGGCGAACGGGUGAGUAACACGUGAGUAACCUGCCCUUGACUUUGGGAUAACUUCAGGAAACUGGGGCUAAUACCGGAUAGGAGCUCCUGCUGCAUGGUGGGGGGUGGAAAGUUUCGGCGGUUGGGGAUGAACUCGCGGCUUAUCAGCUUGUUGGUGGGGUAGUGGCUUACCAAGGCUUUGACGGGUAGCCGGCCUGAGAGGGUGACCGGCCACAUUGGGACUGAGAUACGGCCCAGACUCCUACGGGAGGCAGCAGUGGGGAAUAUUGCACAAUGGGCGGAAGCCUGAUGCAGCAACGCCGCGUGCGGGAUGACGGCCUUCGGGUUGUAAACCGCUUUCGCCUGUGACGAAGCGUGAGUGACGGUAAUGGGUAAAGAAGCACCGGCUAACUACGUG